CAAUAGGAGUCUGCUUCUAACCGUCUCUUGACUGAGACUAGCGACUUGUGCGCUAACUUUUGACUUGACCUCAAAUCAGGUAGGACUACCCGCUGAACUUAAGCAUAUCAAUAAGCGGAGGAAAAGAAACUAACAAGGAUUCCCCUAGUAACUGCGAGUGAAGCGGGAAAAGCUCAAAUUUAAAAUCUGGCGGUCUCCGGCCGUCCGAGUUGUAAUUUAGAGAAGCGUUAUCCGUGCUGGACCGUGUAUAAGUCUCCUGGAAUGGAGCGUCAUAGAGGGUGAGAAUCCCGUCUUUGACACGGACUACCAGUGCAUUGUGAUGCGCUCUCGACGAGUCGAGUUGUUUGGGAAUGCAGCUCAAAAUGGGUGGUAAAUGCCAUCUAAAGCUAAAUAUUGGCGAGAGACCGAUAGCGAACAAGUACCGUGAGGGAAAGAUGAAAAGAACUUUGGAAAGAGAGUUAAACAGUACGUGAAAUUGUCGAAAGGGAAACGGUUGCAGUCAGUCGCGUCCGCCGGGGAUCAACCUUGCUUUUGCUUGGCGUAUUUCCCGGUGGAUGGGUCAGCAUCAGUUUUGACCGCAGUUGAAAGGCUGGAGGAAUGUGGCACCUUCGGGUGUGUUAUAGCCUCCUGUCAUAUGCUGCGGUUGGGACUGAGGAACUCAGCACGCCGAAAGGCCGGGAUUCGUCCACGUUCGUGCUUAGGAUGCUGGCAUAAUGUCUGUAACCGACCCGUCUUGAAACACGGACCAAGGAGUCUAACAUGCACGCGAGUGUUUGGGUGGCAAACCCGAGCGCGUAAUGAAAGUGAAAGUUGAGACCUCUGUCGUGGAGGGCAUCGA
rnacentral:rRNA from 1 species